ensembl:lncRNA
AACAGACCAAAUUGAACAGACCAAAUUAAAAAGACCAAAUUAAAAAAAUAUAUAUACAUUUUUUUUUUUUUCUUUAUAUGUAUAUUUACCUAGCCUAAUGAAAUUUUUAAAUUUCCAUAAUAUUCUUAAGCUUGUUUUAUUCUUUUAUUUUUACAUUUUGUUAUGUUGACAUAAUACGCCAUAAGACCUUUUUUAAAAUUUAUAUUUUCCCAAUUUUUUUUUUUUUUUUUAUCAAUAUUAAAUAUGCCAUUUUUAAUAUAUAUUUUUUAUUAGCAGUGUAGUAGUAAUCAGAAUAACGUUUAAUCCAAAAUUUCCAUUAAAAUAUAUAUAUAUAUAUAUAUAUAUAUGCAUAUGCACAGGCAUAUACAAUAAUACUCUUUUGAUUUUUAUAAAAAGCAUGUAUACAUUGCAUUGAAAAAAAAAAAAAAAAAAAAUAAUUCAUUAUCAUUUUAUGUAUAUCAUAUAUGAUAAUAUUAUUUAUUUAUAAGUUACAUCAUAUGUACAUACAUGCACACAUGUUUUUACGUUAACAAAAUGACACAUAUUGUUCACAUAUUAUUUUACACGACAUAUGUAGUAUAUAAACUUGUGCGCAUUUUAUAAAUAUACCGCGUUUCUAAUAAUUUCACUAUUAUUUAUAAAAAUAAAAUUUAGACUUUGUAUACAAAACGUAUCGAUUCUUUUUUUUUUUUUUUUUUUUUUUUUUUUUUUUUUUUUUUUUUUUUUUUAUAAAAUAUCAUACAAAUAUAUAUUUCAUCACAUAUGUGGAGACCUAUAUAACGUCACACCUACGCCAUUAUCUACAUACGUACGCCAUUAUCUACAUAUACGUGCGCCAUUAUCUACAUAUACGUGCGCNNNNNNNNNNACAUAUACGUGCGCCAUUAUCUACAUAUACGUGCGCCAUUAUCUACACACGUACGCUAUUAUCUACAUACGUACACACAUUUUUUUAUAUACCAACUUAUACAUAAACACACAUCAUUACAAUGUUCAGUGGAGACAGCAGAACCCGAAAAGUAAACCUGAGUGGGAAAAAACGAGUUAUACUUGAUCGAUAUUCGUUUAUUGAAAAUGCCAAAAAAGAAGCUAAAAAGAAAAUUGAUUUUUGCAAACAAAAGAAUAGUUUUGGUGUGAUUAGUAAUUACAUAUGUUAUAAAAAAUGUAUAGAAAAAAGAAAAAAAGAAAUACAAAUAGUUUUAUAUAAGGAUAUUAAAUGUAUAGUAUCUCCAACAAAAUCAAUAAAUACUACAAAACCGUUUAAGGGAUAUUCCCAUAAAGAAAUAUAUAAUAUUUCUUUGAAUUGUUGUUUUCUGUUUUCUACAUUAAAAUGUUACGAAUAUUACAAAAGUAUGAAUUUUAAAAAUAUGUAUGAACCAGUAAGGGACUUAUUACGUAUUAUAAAGUUUUAUAAAAAACAUAAAAUAUUGAUUAAUAAUUUUAGUUCUAUUGAUGAUAAAAAUAGAAUUAUAAAAAACAAUGAUGUAUUUUGUAAUACAAAAAAAGGAAAGAAAGAGUGUGCUAGUAUUUCUUAUUAUGAUGAAUUGAAUGAGAAUAUAGAUGUUGGUGUUUUAAAAAGCAAUUACCAUUUAAAUAAUAAAUUAGAUACAAAUUCGAUUAUAAUUAACGAAUUAGAAGAUAUAGAGAAGAAUAAAAAAAUCACAAUUGUUACAAAUUUUAAUAUAACUUAUAGAGACCUCUAUUUUAGACAUAUAAGAGAACUAAAUAUAUUGAUAAAACAUUUAGAUAUAUUAAUGGGUCAUUAUUAUAUAUAUAAUAUAAAUAUAUAUAAUGCAUAUGAUUCAAAAAAAACACAUAUAAAAGAAUGUAAUGUUUGUUUUGAUCGAUCGAGGAAUAAAAAUAGUGGUAUAAAAAAUAAUACAAACAUAGGCAAUAGCAAAGGUAAUGAUAAUGUUAAACAUUUAAUUAGUAAUCCGAUAGAUAUUGGUGGUAGUAUAAGACCAAAUUAUAUCAUGAAACAUAUGUUUUUUUUAUAUAAUAUUAAUAUAUACAAGAAAUUUGAUGAGGAUGUUACUAAAAAUUUGUUUUUAAUUAAUAAAAAUAAGGUGGAUGAGCAAAAAGAAAAAAUAAAAAAUAUCAAAAUAGACAAUAAGAUAAUACGAAAAUCUUUACAUAAUAUUUACAAAUAUAUAAAAUUAACACUUGACGGAUUAAUUAUUACUAUGAAAAUUAUAUUAGAUUUACAAAUAAAACUUAAAUGUCAGCUCCCAACACACAUGAUUCCUAUUAAUGCAAUUAUAUAUGCAUGUGAUAUGGUAUAUAUAUAUUUUUAUAAAUUAUCAAGAAGAAAAAAAUAUAUAAUUACGGAUAGUAAACUAUGUACUAAUAACAAAAGUAAAUUUUUUCAUAAAAAAAAUGAUAAUAUGUCUCAUUAUAAUAGUGAUGAUACUUGUAUGCAUCGUCAUUAUUCUAAUCAUUUAUCUCGUCUUACUCCUUGUUUUUCUCAUCCCUCCUUUCCUCGUUUUACUCGUACUAAUAUUCGCUACCCUUCCCAACCUUGUCCUAGUUCAAGUGCAAAAAUGAAUAUCCAUAUAGAUGAUAAAAAAUAUAAAUUAAGUUAUAAAAUAAAUAUAUUACUAGAUUUUAUAGUAUCCUAUAUAAUUUCCAAUAAUAACAAUUGCAAUAUGCAUUUACUUUUGGUAACAUUUUUUAAAUAUAAUAUAUACAAAAUAUUUUUACCUGAUAUUACAUUAAAAACGAUUUUAAUAAAAUUAAAAAGAAUAUUAAUUUUUGUUGUAAAAAAUAGUUAUAAAGAUAUAGAUAUGAUGAAAAUGUUAAUAUAUAAUACAGAUAGAAUUAUAAAUAAUAAUAUAUUAAGUUACGAAUAUUUUUGUUCUAUAUGUAAACAAAAAUCAAUUGAAAACUAUCAAAAAUCUGGAAUUAAUUUAUAUAAAAAUAUUUUAUUAUUUAUACAUAGUAAUAAAUAUUUGAUGGAUGAUAAUGUUUUUAAUAUUUUAUUAAGUUUUUAUUUAUUUUUACCAUUAAAAUAUCAUCCAUAUAUAUAUAUUGUAAAUGAAGAUUAUUAUAACAUGAGUCAAUCAUCAUACCCCCAAUCCAAAGUUAAUAAUAAAUUUGAUCAUUCUAAAAAAAACAAAGUAUAUAACAUAACCAAUCAUAACUUUAAUAAUAAUGUUACAAAGUGUUUUUCUAAUACAGACACUGAUGGGGAGAUAAAACAAAAGCAGGAAAAACAUAAAGUCGAUAUUUUUAAUAUUCUAUCAAAAAGCGAAUUAAUUAAUGCAAAAACUGAUAACGUAAAAAUACAAAAUCUGUUGAAUAUAUUAAAAGAGGUACAAAAAAAAAAGGAGCAACAAAAACAGGAGGAACAAAUAUCUGAUAGUCUUUUCGGAAAAUGGUUACAACCCAUAAGGAGAUCAUAUUACGAGAAUGAACAUUCAUACAGAUACAUGCAUGACGAUUUGGGUUAUUACUAUGAUAAAAAAAUAAUUGAUUCACUUAUAUAUAUAUGUAAAAAAAAUUGCUUUCACAAAUUAGAUACACUUUUAUUCAUUUUAUUACCUUUUAGAACUAUAAAUAAGUAUAUAUAUUAUAAAUAUGAUACAUAUUAUGAUUUUUUUAAAAAUAUAAGUAAAUAUGUAUGUACAGGAAGUUAUCCUGUGCAUUAUUGUAGGACGAAAAAUGGGAUGAAAUUUAAAAGUUUGUUGGGUAGAAUCAAUAUUCAUAAUAAUGGCUUUACUAACGGCAUAAUAAAUUGUAACUACUUUAAUUUAUUUUCUUUAUCAAAUUUAUUUUCUUUGAAAAGAAAAAUUAAAAAUAAUGACAUCCUUAACAACUAUGUAAUUUUAAGAAUAAUAAAACAGUUAGUACAACAUAAUAUACAUAUUUAUUUAUUAAAAAAAAUUUGUUUAUUUUGGAUUUAUAUUUGUAACUAUAAUGACUCUAUAUUUUAUAACAAUUUAUUAUUUUUUCCAUACUACGAUAAUACAGUUUUAUCUAUUUAUGUUUCUUCUUUUUGUGCACUUUUAAAUUACUAUAUUAUAUCCAAUAUGUAUAUAAAAUUAAUAAAUAUUCGAAAUUUUAAAUUUAUUCCAAAUUUUAUAUUAACAAAAGGUUUUAAAAAAGUUAGUAAAUUAUUAGCAUCUUCUUUUUGGGUAAUGUCUGGUGGAAUAGUAAAUGCAUUAGAAGAUGAAAUUUAUUUUAUGGCAUUAGAAAUUAUGAACGUUAAUAACUUGGGUACUAUUACUAGUACAUGUAGUAUAGAUAACAUUUAUGACUAUUUGGAAGAUUCAUGUAUAGAAUAUAUUAUACAAGAGGAAGAUAUAUAUAACGAUUUAGACAAAAAGAUGGAAGAACAAAUGAUUAAAAAAGAAGAGCAUAUAAUUAAAUGUUUAGAAGAACAAACUAAUAAUGACUGUAAUAUGAUUAUUCAACGUUUUUCAUUUGAAGGUCAUGGGAUUAAAAUGAAUAGUGACAAUAUGUUUAAAUCGUUUCAUUUCUUAGAUGUAUCUUUUUUUAAAAAAGAUACUAUAAAAAAAAAUAGAAAAGAGACAAAAAAUAAUAUUUAUAAUGCUUUGUGUAUUGAUAAAUGUUGGUUUAUUCGGGAUAAUUUAUUGAUUUGUAAUGAUUUUUCUGAAAAAUGUACAGACGUACGUAACGAAAACAUUUCAGUUGGAACGUAUGAUUCAGUUGGUAAACAAUAUGUGAACAAAUCGGAACAAUUACAAAAAUCAGGAAUACCUAAACAAAGUUGUAACAUAAAAGGCAGUGAUGGUAGUACUACUACUACUACUACUACCGUUGGGAGGUUAAUAAACACAGAAAGCGACUAUAAAAACAAUUACGGUUGUGUGGGAAAUGAAAAUUGUUUUAAUAAUGAUAUUGAUGCGGUGAUAAAAUGGUUAAAUGAGUUAGGAAGUGUCAGUGACAGUAGUAAUAGUAGUAG